CCCGUGUUAGCCACGGCAGUCUUCUGUGAGUCCCCGACAUUACUCGCUGGCAACACAGAACGAGGGUUGCGCUCGUUGCGGGACUUAACCCAACAUCUCACGACACGAGCUGACGACAACCAUGCACCACCUGUACACCGGCCCGAGGGGGGCCUCAUCUCUGAGGCUUUCCGGUGUAUGUCAAGCCUUGGUAAGGUUCUUCGCGUUGCGUCGAAUUAAGCCACAUGCUCCGCCGCUUGUGCGGGCCCCCGUCAAUUCCUUUGAGUUUUAGCCUUGCGGCCGUACUCCCCAGGCGGGGUGCUUAAUGCGUUAGCUGCGACACGGAGAGCGUGGAAUACUCCCCACAUCUAGCACCCACCGUUUACAGCGUGGACUAC
rnacentral:misc_RNA from 1 species